UAUCUUCUAUCUACCAUAGUCCAGUUUUUGAAACAAAGCCCCCUCUGACUCUGACCCAUCUGGAAGCGUUGUUACUUUUACAAGAUUGCUGGAGAGAAGCCUGAGCAAAGACCACUCCACUUGCUGCUAGUGAGCCCGCUUGACCCAGCACAGGCGCUCAAGGGCCACUUUUUUUUUCCUCCAAGCCUUCACUGUAGCCCCCUCCCUUUGGAGCAGCAGGAAAUAUCAUCAUCUCCGGUCUCGAGUUGUCUGGCGCUCAUUGAGGUUCAGUCAGCGGGCCUCCCGCCACGUGAUGUGGAGUCAGCACUCGUUGCUUGGACUUGUUUCUCCAGCUCUCCUAUCUCAGCCUUGCACAAUGCACCGCCAUGAUCUCUUUGGGUUACACAAGCUCAGAAGUCAGAGGGGCCCGCAGUGACGAUCAUUUUUGAGACCACAAGCUGUGGGUUGUGUCAUCACUCGGUUGGGGGACAUGCAGAAAAAUCAAGAUGCUGCAGAAAUCUUCUCCGGGGGCUCUGAGCCUGGAGGCCAUAAACCAAACGGCGGCCUGGUUUCCGAAAUGGACUUAGUGUUCGAGUCGGAAGGAUCCGGAGUGGGGAGAAAUCUGCCACUUAUCGUUCUUAAGCUAUCCUGGAGAUGCAUCUCUCACUAAGCAUCCCUCCUAAAUCCAAACUGAGUGAGUGGCCCAGCUUUUUUGGCAUACCAGUUUGAUCCAGGGACCCUAAGUCUGUCUGCUUCUUCACGCUUCUGAUGAAAAUUCUGGAUUGGUC